rnacentral:rRNA from 1 species
AUUUAAAGUGGUACGCGAGCUGGGUUUAGAACGUCGUGAGACAGUUCGGUCCCUAUCUGCCGUGGGCGCUGGAGAAUUGAGGGGGGCUGCUCCUAGUACGAGAGGACCGGAGUGGACGCAUCACUGGUGUUCGGGUUGUCAUGCCAAUGGCACUGCCCGGUAGCUAAAUGCGGAAGAGAUAAGUGCUGAAAGCAUCUAAGCACGAAACUUGCCCCGAGAUGAGUUCUCCCUGAGACUUUAAGUCUCCUGAAGGAACGUUGAAGACGACGACGUUGAUAGGCCGGGUGUGUAAGCGCAGCGAUGCGUUGAGCUAACCGGUACUAAUGAACCGUGAGGCUUAACCUUAC